rnacentral:rRNA from 1 species
GUAAUGGCUCACCAAGACGAUGAUGCAUAGCCGAGUUGAGAGACUGAUCGGCCACAAUGGGACUGAGACACGGCCCAUACUCCUACGGGAGGCAGCAGUAGGGAAUCUUCCACAAUGGGCGAAAGCCUGAUGGAGCAACGCCGCGUGUGUGAUGAAGGGUUUCGGCUCGUAAAACACUGUUGUAAGAGAAGAAUGACAUUGAGAGUAACUGUUCAAUGUGUGACGGUAUCUUGCCAGAAAGGAACGGCUAAAUACGUGCCAGCAGCCGCGGUAAUACGUAUGUUCCAAGCGUUAUCCGGAUUUAUUGGGCGUAAAGCGAGCGCAGACGGUUAUUUAAGUCUGAAGUGAAAGCCCUCAGCUCAACUGAGGAAUUGCUUUGGAAACUGGAUGACUUGAGUGCAGUAGAGGAAAGUGGAACUCCAUGUGUAGCGGUGAAAUGCGUAGAUAUAUGGAAGAACACCAGUGGCGAAGGCGGCUUUCUGGACUGUAACUGACGUUGAGGCUCGAAAGUGUGGGUAGCAAACAGGAUUAGAUACCCUGGUAGUCCACACCGUAAACGAUGAGUGCUAGGUGUUUGAGGGUUUCCGCCCUUAAGUGCCGCAGCUAACGCAUUAAGCACUCCGCCUGGGGAGUACGACCGCAAGGUUGAAACUCAAAGGAAUUGACGGGGACCCGCACAAGCGGUGGAGCAUGUGGUUUAAUUCGAAGCUACGCGAAGAACCUUACCAGGUCUUGACAUCUUCUGCCAAUCUUAGAGAUAAGACGUUCCCUUCGGGGACAGAAUGACAGGUGGUGCAUGGUUGUCGUCAGCUCGUGUCGUGAGAUGUUGGGNUUAAGUCCCGCAACGAGCGCAACC